rnacentral:rRNA from 1 species
GAGGCAGCAGUGGGGAAUCUUCCGCAAUGGACGAAAGUCUGACGGAGCAACGCCGCGUGAGUGAUGAAGGUCUUCGGAUUGUAAAGCUCUGUUAAUCGGGACGAAAGAGUUCUGUGUGAAUAAUGCAGAAAAGUGACGGUACCGGAAUAGAAAGCCACGGCUAACUACGUGCCAGCAGCCGCGGUAAUACGUAGGUGGCAAGCGUUGUCCGGAAUUAUUGGGCGUAAAGCGCGCGCAGGCGGCCUAUCCAGUCUGUCUUAAAAGUUCGGGGCUCAACCCCGUGAUGGGAUGGAAACUAGUAGGCUAGAGUAUCGGAGAGGAAAGCGGAAUUCCUAGUGUAGCGGUGAAAUGCGUAGAUAUUAGGAAGAACACCAGUGGCGAAGGCGGCUUUCUGGACGAAAACUGACGCUGAGGCGCGAAAGCCAGGGGAGCGAACGGGAUUAGAUACCCCGGUAGUCCUGGCCGUAAACGAUGGGUACUAGGUGUAGGAGGUAUCGACCCCUUCUGUGCCGGAGUUAACGCAAUAAGUACCCCGCCUGGGGA